rnacentral:rRNA from 1 species
CCUACGGGCGGCAGCAGUGAGGAAUAUUGGUCAAUGGACGAGAGUCUGAACCAGCCAAGCAGCGUGAAGGAUGACUGCCCUAUGGGUUGUAAACUUCUUUUAUCUGGGAAUAAAAUGUUCCACGUGUGGGAUUUUGUAUGUACCAUAUGAAUAAGGAUCGGCUAACUCCGUGCCAGCAGCCGCGGUAAUACGGAGGAUCCGAGCGGUAUCCGGAUUUAUUGGGUUUAAAGGGAGCGUAGGUGGAUUGUUAAGUCAGUUGUGAAAGUUAGGGGCUCAACCGGAGAAUUGCAGUUGAAACUGGCUGUCUUGAGUACAGGAGAGGUGUGCGGAAUGCGUGGUGUAGCGGUGAAAUGCUUAGAUAUCGCGAAGAACUCCGAUUGCGAAGGCAGCUCACUGGACUGCAACUGACGCUGAGGCUCGAAAGUGUGGGUAUCAAACAGGAUUAGAUACCCGUGUAGUC